CUGCUUUGUAACAGUUUCCCAAUUUGUAAACUCGCAACGAUGUAUCUCACUACCUGGACUGCCCACUGAUGUUAACCACUGUGCCCUGGGGAUUACACGUUACACAAAUUACAUCAAGUGUUUGACAAGACCGAAAAUGUGUCAAACAGAUAUACUUUUGUAUAGACGCGAUUGGUCGAUUUCAAGUUUAACAAGGCCACGCAAAUGUGUUUGACGUGUUGCCAAUUGCGUCGUCGACAUCGUUAUUCGACGUUACCAAACAACGACCAACGUACGAUUAAUGGAAUAUACAUUUCUUCUUGCACACGCGCACCUAGAGGGAGGAGGGAAAGAGACUGUUACUUUAAUGACAAUCGUCUCAGCAUUGAAUUCUUUACUCCAAUACCACUGUAUAUUUGACUAGUAACGUUAAACUAUUUCAAAUGCAAGUAUCUGUGGAGUAAUAAUUUCGACGCGUCACCAUUCAUCUCUUAUCGAAACUAUACGUAUACUUGUUAUUCAUAGAAAACUUGGAGAUUUAAGUUCCAAGAUUGACUUUUCUACUGAAAUGAUUGUUUGCGCGCUAGUAGGUAGACGCAAUCGCCGACGAAGGAAAGAGACGAUACGUCGCUGCGUCAUUAUUUCAUCAAGUCGUUGUUAAAGUCAGUUUUCGACAUAGCGCUUGUUACAUGGCAAUUGUUUGUCAAGGCCACGUACGAUCGAGGAUCUCGGUCGGUACACAUAAGUAACGUAUAAUAAUAAAAAGAAACGAAACGUU